rnacentral:rRNA from 1 species
GAUGAACGCUGGCGGCGUGCCUAAUACAUGCAAGUCGAGCGAACAGACGAGGAGCUUGCUCCUCUGACGUUAGCGGCGGACGGGUGAGUAACACGUGGAUAACCUACCUAUAAGACUGGGAUCACUUCGGGAAACCGGAGCUAAUACCGUAUAAUAUAUUGAACCGCAUGGUUCAAUAGUGAAAGACGGUUUUGCUGUCACUUAUCGAUGGAUCCGCGCCGCAUUAGCUAGUUGGUAAGGUAACGGCUUACCAAGGCAACGAUGCGUAGCCGACCUGAGAGAGGGAUCGGCCACACGGGAACUGAGCCACGGUCCAGACUCCUGCGGGAGGCAGCAGUAGGGAAUCUUCCGCAAUGGGCGAAAGCCUGACGGAGCAACGCCGCGUGAGUGAUGAAGGUCUUCGGAUCGUAAAACUCUGUUAUUAGGGAAGAACAAAUGUGUAAGUAACUAUGCACGUCUUGACGGUACCUAAUCAGAAAGCCACGGCUAACUACGUG